CAUUCUCCCGUUUCCAAGGCAGCGGCAGCAGCGAGCAGCAAAGGACCAAGAAAGAAACAGGCACAAGUAUCAGAGCUGCUGUCUCUUUGGAGCCAGUACCAACAGGCCCUGGAGCAGCAAAUCCUGCUUAAGGAGCAAUGACAGACACCAAAUGAUCCCCAUGAAGGACAGUCCUGGCUCAGAAGGAGACAACCAAGAAAAGAAUAAGCUGUGGAAGGACUCAAAUGUCAUCUGACCCAGCUGAGACAGGGUUGGCUGUCGCUCCUGGCAGCAGAAUUAGCCCUGACAGGCAGGGGUACAACCACUUGUGAAAGCUGUUCAAAGGCAGCAGCUCUCCAGCAAAAAAAAAAGAUGAGCACACCAGUGGCAGUGAAAGCAGAACAAGAUGUUCAGCAGGAUGUUCUUCUCUAUGACAAGAAGAACAUCUGAACCUGAAGAGAUCGAUAAGCCAGUAAUUGCCCUUUGUUCUGGGGGAAAUGUGAAUGUGGGGAAGAUGAUUAAUAAAUUAAUUUUAUGAC